AUCUAUCUCCCACCGGGGAGAAAACUAAAAAGAGUAAUUACAUACUUCAUUAGGUCUUUGAAGAAGUAUGUCAAUUACUCUUUUCUUUU
rnacentral:ncRNA from 1 species